rnacentral:rRNA from 1 species
GUGCCAGCAGCCGCGGUAAUACGGAGGGUGCAAGCGUUAUCCGGAUUUAUUGGGUUUAAAGGGUCCGUAGGCGGACUCGUAAGUCAGUGGUGAAAUCUCAUAGCUUAACUAUGAAACUGCCAUUGAUACUGCGGGUCUUGAGUAAGGUAGAGGUAGCUGGAAUAAGUAGUGUAGCGGUGAAAUGCAUAGAUAUUACUUAGAACACCAAUUGCGAAGGCAGGUUACCAUGUCUUAACUGACGCUGAUGGACGAAAGCGUGGGGAGCGAACAGGAUUAGAAACCCCCGUAGUCC